rnacentral:rRNA from 1 species
AUUGAACGCUGGCGGCAGGCCUAACACAUGCAAGUCGAGCGGAUGAAGGGAGCUUGCUCCUGGAUUUAGCGGCGGACGGGUGAGUAAUGCCUAGGAAUCUGCCUGGUAGUGGGGGAUAACGUCCGUAAACGGGCGCUAAUACCGCAUACGUCCUGAGGGAGAAAGUAGGGGAUCUUCGGACCUCACGCUAUCAGAUGAUCCUAGGUCGGAUUAGCUAGGUGGUGGGGUAAAGGCCUACCAAGGCGACGAUCCGUAACUGGUCUGAGAGGAUGAUCAGUCACACUGGAACUGAGACACGGUCCAGACUCCUACGGGAGGCAGCAGUGGGGAAUAUUAGACAAUGGGCGAAAGCCUGAUCCAGCCAUGCCGCGUGUGUGAAGAAGGUCUUCGGAUUGUAAAGCACUUUAAGUUGGGAGGAAGGGCAGUAAGUUAACACCUUGCUGUAUUGACGUUACCAAAAGAAUAAGCACCGGCUAACUUCGUG